UACGGAGGGGGCUAGCGUUGUUCGGAAUUACUGGGCGUAAAGCGCACGUAGGCGGCUUUGUAAGUUAGAGGUGAAAGCCCAGGGCUCAACCCUGGAAUUGCCUUUAAGACUGCAUCGCUUGAACAUCGGAGAGGUAAGUGGAAUUCCGAGUGUAGAGGUGAAAUUCGUAGAUAUCGGGAGGAACACCAGUGGCGAAGGCGGCGACCUGGGCCAAUACUGACGCUGAGGUGCGAAAGCGUGGGGAGCAAACAGG
rnacentral:rRNA from 1 species